GGAAUAUUGGACAAUGGGGGCAACCCUGAUCCAGCAAUGCCGCGUGUGUGAAGAAGGCCUGCGGGUUGUAAAGCACUUUCGGCAGGGAAGAAAAGCGUAGGGCGAAUAACCCUGCGUCUUGACGUUACCUGCAUAAGAAGCACCGGCUAACUCCGUGCCAGCAGCCGCGGUAAUACGGAGGGUGCAAGCGUUAAUCGGAAUUACUGGGCGUAAAGCGCACGUAGGUGGCUGCUUAAGUCGGAUGUGAAAGCCCCGGGCUCAACCUGGGAAUUGCAUUCGAUACUGGGUAGCUAGAGUUCGGAAGAGGGAAGUGGAAUUCCAGGUGUAGCGGUGAAAUGCGUAGAUAUCUGGAGGAACAUCAGUGGCGAAGGCGACUUCCUGGUCCGAAACUGACACUGAGGUGCGAAAGCGUGGGUAGCAAAC
rnacentral:rRNA from 1 species